rnacentral:lncRNA from 1 species
GUGAGUGGCUGGCUUUUGUUUACUUGCUGCAGCAAAGACUCAAGGACAACGGAUCGAUUUUAGUCACUUUAAUAUUAGCCAUGAACACACAGUUUAAGGACCGCGGCGUGAAUGAUACAGUGGAAAGACUAAAGCAGGAAUAUCUGGAGAGGAGGAGGAAGGUCUCAGCUACAGAAGACGUUCCCUCCGCAGACAGUGUCAAGGCAGUACAAAGGCUUAACUUGUCCCAAAGCUCCAAACAGUCAACCAAAGAGCUGAUGUCUCUUGGAAGGUUUGCCAGGGAGCGUAGGCCCCAUGGCAGCAAUGAAGACCUGAAUGCAGAUUCUACUGCUGCUCCGCUUCAAGACUCUCAAGUGCUGUUCACAGAAACAGGUGUGUACAUGUUAGAGGGUCUCAUCAGAGAUCAUCAGAGAUAAACCUGGCUACCUCACAGCUAACAAAGGUUCUUAAUCUUUCAGUAACAGUAUAUUCAGGCAAUGGUAAUGGCCCUUGAAAUUCACUGGACAAUUUCUA